AUUGAACGCUGGCGGCAUGCCUUACACAUGCAAGUCGAACGGCAGCACGGGGCAACCUGGUGGCGAGUGGCGAACGGGUGAGUAAUGCAUCGGAACGUACCUUUCAGUGGGGGAUAACGUAGCGAAAGUUACGCUAAUACCGCAUAUUCUGUGAGCAGGAAAGCAGGGGAUCGCAAGACCUUGCGCUGAUUGAGCGGCCGAUGUCAGAUUAGCUAGUUGGUGAGGUAAAGGCUCACCAAGGCGACGAUCUGUAGCGGGUCUGAGAGGAUGAUCCGCCACACUGGAACCGAGGCACGGUCCAGACUCCUGCGGGAGUCAGCAGUGGGGAAUUUUGGACAAUGGGGGCAACCCUGAUCCAGCCAUGCCGCGUGAGUGAAGAAGGCCUUCGGGUUGUAAAGCUCUUUCGGCCGGGAAGAAAUCGCACGGGCUAAUACCCUGUGUGGAUGACGGUACCGGAAUAAGAAGCACCGGCUAACUACGUGCCAGCCGCCGCAGUAAAAC
rnacentral:rRNA from 1 species